rnacentral:tRNA from 1 species
AGUAAGUUAGUGCAAUUGGUCAGCACAUUUAUAGUGAAAAUAAGAGGUGUGGGUUUGAUUCCCAUGUGUACUC